rnacentral:lncRNA from 1 species
UUCAACUCUUUAUUUUAAAAUAAUUUUGACUUACAGAAAUGUCACAACAAUUAUACAAAAAUAUUUUAAUGUACCCUUCACCCAGAUUCCCCAAAUGUUAACAUUUUACUGGGUUUGAUUUAUCUCUCUCUCUCUCUCAGAUUAGAUAGGUGAUGGACAGAUAGAUGAUAGAUAGGUAGGUAGGUAGAUAGGUAGAUAGAGAUAGACAUAGAUACAUUACGGAUAUAGACAAAUAUCUUGUUUCUUCUGGUCAUUCAAGUCUCAGCUGAGAUGCCACCUCUAAAAAGUCCCCUUUCCUGGCCAUUUAACCCCUGUAGCUGUGGUCCCACUCUCUCAUACUCUUCUAAUUGCAGAUCCCAACAACACUGAUCUCCAGCUGGUGUUUUUCUUGGCUGUUUACUUACUGGUCACCUCUCUGCCUCCCCACUGGGAUGUCAGUUUUAUGGGAGAAUUGUCCCGUGUGCCUUCCCUGUUCACUGUUGAAUCCUCAAAACAUAGAACAAGGCCUGCACAGAAUGGGUGCCUAGUCACUGUUUGCUGAAUCGGUGAAUUGGGGACGUGCCCAUGUGGAGUCCACACAGGCACGUGGCGUAGUCUCUGUGCUCGAGGCGCAGAUGUUCCCCAGUGCCGCAGUAGCUGCAGCAUCCCCUCUCAUCAUGGAAACAUCUGCUGUAUCUUGUUUGAGGAGGGGAUGACUGAAGACACAGCUAGCAUUUUGGUGUAAAGCCUCUGAGAAAGAGAGAGAAAACUAUACAAACAUGCACACACACAGGAAGAGAGAGCAGGGCCAGCUUAGUGGUUUAGGCAUGGCUCCGGACCCCAGCUGCCUUAGUCACAUUCAGGUUCUGCCACUUAGUACUGUGUGACCUUGGGCGAAUUACUUAAACGCUCUGUGUCUCAGGUGCCUUAUGUGUAAUAUAUAGAUAAUAAAAAUAUCUUCUUCAUAGACGUUGCACGAUGAAAUGUAUGACUGUAUUUUAAAUGCUUAGAGCCAUGCCUGGCAUCCAGUAAGUGUUCAGUUAACCUCAGCGGAGUAUGUAAUUAUAUAAUUAAGUAAGAACAGGCAGUACAUGCUGUUUGAUAGCCUUUUUUCAUUUGGCAAAAUAUUCUGAAAAUUCCAUAUCAAUACACAUUCCUUUACCACAUGAUUAUUAAUGGCUAAUAUUUUUCCAUCAUAUAGAUGUACUGUAGCAACACAAGUUUCCUGGCAUACCACCAUUGCUGGAUAUUUGAGUUGCUUCCACUUUUUCUCUAUUACAAACAACAUUACGUUGAACACCCUUGGACAUAUAUCUUUGCACACAUCAGCAACUAUUCCUUCUUAUUGCGUUCCUAGAAGUGGAAUCGUUGGGUCAAAGGCUGUGCAUAUUUUCUGACCCAAGAUACAGAUUCCAAGUCCCUGAGACAGGUUGUCCCAGAAGAGGCGUUUCCUUGGGGAUCAAGUGCAGAGGCCAGGGUGGGUCCUAAUGUCAGCCAUUUCCACACUGCCUUCUCUCCCACGGCCAGCCAGGCUGCAGUCCAUGUGUCCUGAGGCCACCACAGAUUCCAGUUGUCCUGUUUACUAGGCUCUGGGCGGGAAAACAAGCUGGACAUUCUCUUCCAAGGACUGUCAGAGACCUUUGCCUUGAACUUCAUCUAAGAGAAUGAAGACAGCCACAUCCAACCUGCUGCUGUCUCACUGCUGGCCUUCCCUCUGACCUUGACUGUGACCCUGUGACCUUGACGGUGGCACUGUGACCUUAACUGUGACCCUGUGACCUUGACUGUGACACUCAGACCUUGACAGUGACCCUGUGUGGGCAAAGACCUCUGUACCCUUUCCUCUGACCUUGACAGUGAUACUCUGACUUUGACUGUGACCCUGUGACCUUGACUGUGAUGCUCUGACCUUGACUGUGACAUUGUGUGUGCAAAGGCCUCUGUACCCUUUCCUCUGUGCUUGAAAAUGGGGAAUGGCCUAACCUUGGCAAGGCUUCUCCAAGAUGGCAAAAUAAACUAUGGAAGCUGCUGUUUCCAAAAUGGGGGACCAGUAUCCCAUUCCCACAUAGCACCCCCAUCCAGGAGGGUGGAACCUCUGAAAGGGUAAGAGGAAAAGCCGAAAAUUUCACAGAAAGAGCCACGGCUCCAGGGCCACCAGGAAGGCAGCCCAGGGCACGUGUGGAGGGACUGCCACCAUGAACGAAGCAGGCAGGAGCACAUCUAGGUUUUGUCAGACGUGAAUAUAUGCAUUUUGAGGAGCUUUCUUUAAGAAAAGAACAUUACAAAUAUAAAACGCCCACGGCCAAUACAACUUACCCAACAGGGGAUGUGUGAUGGGGGGAGGGGGGAAGAAGGUGGCCAUCGUCACCCACUGAGGUUAAAAAUCUCACACCGUGCCAACUCUUCGAACAGCACCUGACCUGCGGGGGCGUUCCCAGGCCACUCUGGGAAGUGGCUCCAAAGCGUCGCUUGAUUAGCAUCGCCCUGUGAUUGGAACGUCUUGGAGCUGAAGGCCAGAGGCAGACUCUUGUCUAAACACCAUUCCGUAUAAACUCCCGCAUUCGGGGCGACCUCCACCCCACACGCUGAGACGGAAUUUCCUGCCAAAUGCAGGCGGGUGUGGCAAGCCAAAUUUAUUUGAUUUAGAAAUACAAGUAAAUAUGAUACUUCUUGCAGAGAAGUGUCCUAAAACAUCUUACUUAUACCAUACUCAGGGAAUACCUUUAUUUUUAAAAGACAAUCCAGCAACAUAUCCUGAGAAAAUUACUUCUCUUCCUGAGUCUGUUUUCCCAUCUCAGACAUGGGCAUGACAAACCCAGGCCCCGGCUCAGUGUGGGAAUGAAGUGAGCUACCACACAGAAGAUCCUGGCACGGGGACCAUUGUUUCUGUGCGUCUACUGGGUCCAGACCCUUGGGCCAGUGCAGGGAAGACAGAGGUGAUGCACCCCAGACCCUGUCCUCAGGCCUUCACAGUCGAACCUCCCUGAGGUCUACUGAAGAGGUUAGCUGUGCAAAACUGAGCUUUGCAAAGCAGGGAGGGGCCUGGCCUGGUGACUGUCAGCUCACAGACGAGAGAAGCUCACUCAGACUGAGGCCCGCAGGCCCAGGGAGGCCAGCCAGCUUUGGGAGCCGACGUGGCGAGGUGGUCAGCCAGGGGUGGGUCCGAGUGCCAGCCUGCCUUGCUGUGUCUUCUGCGGCAAAUCACUUCCCCUCUGGGAAUCUGAGUUUCCACGAGGAUUUGGGGAGAAGCACUAACUGAGAGAAGUACCCAACACAGAACAGGGGCUCAGUAGAUGGAAACGUUUUCUGUUAUAUCCAUCCCCACCCCGAUUGAGAAUUUGGGGUAAAAUCUGGUUCCCUGGGAAGCCAUUUCUCAAUCCUCUUUCUCUGCAAGAAGCAGACUUCCAAGUCCAAGCAGAGGGCUUGAGAGACUUCCCCCUUCUACUUAAUUCUACCGAAUUCUAUUUAAAUGAAGCAUCCUCCUUCAAGCAGGAAACUCAAACCACUUCCUCCUGCUAGAGUUCUUUGCAAUGUCCCCUUUUCUUAACAUCUGGCCAGAUGCCCAACUGCAAGGAGCCUGAAGCCUUUGGUUUGGGGACGGCUCUGUGGCACUUUUCCCUGGUUCCUGAGCUGACUCGGGCCAGCGGGUCUGGCCUGAGAAGCCCAAGUCUGCAACCCAGAGCUCCUGCCAUGGCACUCCCGAGGCUUUCUUCUCAUUGGCAUCCUCCAGUCUGCCAGGCAGCCUGCUGCCAAGAUGGCAAGCCACACUCCAGGGACUUUUGUCACUCCCAGUAUCUUGUCCCUGGAUGCCUUUCUCCACUCCACCAGCCAUGUCUUUGCUGCAGCUCAUUCUCAUGAGGACGAGGGACAUCCUGAGAUCACAGAUUGGGCACUGGACCGAGAGUGGGGAGACCUCGGCUCUGCCAGCAACACAUGCAGCUGGGAUGUCACUAAGCUCCCACUUUCUCAGAUGCAGAAUAAUGGGGGCUGACCCAGAUCAGCCCGAGGGGUCUCCUAAACAGCAGUCCAUGCACCCCCUCAUCCUACACUCUUUCUGUGAAGGUCCCAGCGCCCUGUUCAUUUGAGCAAAAAGUUUAAAAUUCAGGACUCCUCUUGAGUACCAGCUGCAGACUGGGCCCUAUGUCAGGGCCUAAAGAUCUUUAAAUGAACAACAACGCCCUGCUCUGAAGGAGUUCCCAGAUGAGAAACAGGGACAUGUAAAGAUGACAAGAAAGGGGCUGAUGCUAGAAACGAGCACAGAGCCGACAGCCACUGCCCCCUUAGAGCCUCGUCCCAGAGGAGCAACCACACUGAGUCCUGAGGAUGAAGUUGGAGAGCCCUGAGUUCAGAGGAGGUGAGGGAAGGAGAGUCUAAGAAGAAGGAACGGCAUGCGCAAAGCCAGGUCAGAGGUUUGGAAUUAAUCCCACGUGGCCACUGUGCCAUGGUCAUACCACAAGCAGCAGAAGGGUCCAGCAAAGAGGAUGGGACAUGUGCUGGAGGUCCUGGGCCUCAGCCCUCCCCAUGCAGAAGGAGACCCAUCUGUCUGAUGGCGGCUCGUGGAGGUUUCCAGGGCAAUCUGAUGUGGAGGCACUCACCAAACCCAGGAAGCAGGAGCGACUUCCGGGCACCAGCUCCCAGCCCAGCGCCAGCCCGGGGCUCUAGGCGUUUCCCUGCAGAGUCUCCGACUGAGACUUGAAGAAAACAGUCUUAAAAGUCAGACAAAUAUUUAGAGUUUUACAAACUCAGUCUACAAAUCGGGAGGAAUUGGGAAACUCGCUUGUCAGAUGUGCGGUCUGUUCUCUACAAUCCAAAGCGGGCUUGGUUUCCGGGAGGGCGAUGACACUCCUGCCUGCUCACUGCUACGGUGGGACCACGUCUGAAGAGGCGGUGUUUCACGUUAAGGCGACGGAAUUUAAUGAAACAAAGGAGAAAAAGUGGCAUCAAUUUGGUGUUAGGUGAGAAUCAAAAGAAAUAUAUUGCUGAAUUGACUAGAGUUGUUCCAGCCUUAACUGCUGUCCAAGGGAAAAGUGACAUUUCCCAUCUCCUGGUCCCCUUUGCUAGCCCCAUACUUUCACCCUAAUAUAUUCAUUCCGAAAAAAUCAGAGCUUGCUCAGCAAAAGGAAGAUGGAGUCCCUGUAUCUUUCAUCCCUGCCUUCCCCAUGAGAAGGGAACUGGCAUUUCCUGAGGACCUGCUCUGGGCCCGUGCUUUAUCUACACUGGACUUUCAUCUAAUGCCUAACCCUCCAAGGAGCCCACGAUUUUCUCCAAGGCUGAAGCAACCAAGGCUAGAGAGGUUAGAUGAACUUGUUAAGGUCAUGUAGCUCAUGAAAUAUUGUGUGUGACUGACCGAGUUAGGAUUCUGAUCCCCAUUCUUUUCUGACACUAGAGCCCCACGCCCUGUCCACCUGCCCCACUGCCUUCCUAUAAUCCACAGAUUUGCUUCAAGGAGUGGCUGUCUAAGCGUAGUAUCUAUAAAUGAAGGGCUUUCAAAGCAAUGGAAUGGUAUAAGCCCCAUUUAAACAUUCAUUCAUUCAUUCAACAAAUAAUUACUUGAUGCUGUGAUGUGCCAGGUAUUUCCAGCCAAAUAGGCGAACCCCUGCCCUUGCGUAAUUCACAUCCUAUGAGAGGGACAGUGUGAUGGGCGUGAGCAAGGACUUGGGAGCCAGACUCCUGGGACCACAUCUUAACUCAGCCACUUGUGAGCUGUGUGACCUUCAACACAUUACCUAACCUCUCUGUGUCUCAGUUUCCUCAUCUGUAUAGAGGGGCAAAUAAUACCACCUCCGUUUAAAGUUGUUAUGAGGUCUGAAUGAGCUGAUAUUUGUCGAGCAUUUACAAAUGAGUAUCAUUAAAUAAAUAGUAAGGGAACGUAGGUAAUAACAAAGUAAGUAGAUAUAUAGUGUAUUGCAAGAUGCGGAGUGUGAAGGUGGACAAUGAAUCAGGGGAUAGGGAUCGAGCAUGUUGGUGGGGGGUCUGCCUGUUAGUUAGGGUGGCCAGGGAAGGCCGCACUGAGAAGGUGUCAUUUGAACAAAGACCAGAAAGUCAGUGAGCCAACAGGAGCUGCAUAUAAGCCUUUCCCUGGUGGUUUGGAAGAUGCCAGAGGCAUCUGGGGCCCUGCUCCAACUCUUAAUUAUGAACACCAAUUCCCUGAGAUGAUCAAUUUAGGGAUACGGUUAACAAAUUGCAUCCUUACAUUGUGAUGUGAUAUAAAUCAUCAGUGUGUUGGUAAAAGGCUCAUUCUCUCAGGUGGUCUCAGAAACCAGCGAAAAGGCCUUAUGCCGUAAGGGAUAAGGUUAUUUCUGGACUAUUCCUUUAUUAUAAGAACAAAAUUACAUGGUACAUUCACAGUCCUUAUCUCACAGAUAAAGUUUGCCUAGCUGGCUCCAGGGACCCAUACACAAUGUGCACAUGUCCUGACCUUGACUUUUUCUCGGACCACACCUGCCCGAGAUCCUUCGGUCUUGGGACUGGGGUGGGCGCCCGGACGGCACUGUUCAACCAUCCCUGAGUGAAAAGGAUCCAGGCCAGCCACAUGCCUGCUCUCCUGACCACACAAGGAGUGCCGCUUCAAAGGCUUUUUAGAUGCCAGAAUAGUCAAAGAAUAAUUUUAUUUUGGUGUAUUCCCCAUAUGCUGAGAAUCAUCUUUUUUAUGCUUCCAAGGCCUAGAAAUUAGGGACGUGGUUAAAAAUUUCAUCCUUAAUAUUGUGAUGUGAAAUAAAGAACGCUGGCCUGGGAGGGUGGGGCAAGGGUCCACCUCCCGGCUCCAGCAUGGACUCCCAUGUGUCUGUGGACAUCACAGCUGGUCUCUGGUUCUCGUCUCUUUGUCUAUAAAAUGAGGAGAUAAGGGGGAAAAUACACGCACACACACACACACCCUGCUCUUUCUUUAUUUCUUGCCUGUUCUGGACCAGGCGUAUGAUGCAUAUUGUCUCAUUUUAAAAUCACAACAAUCCUAAGUCAGUGUCCUUGUUACACUGCAGGUAUAACGUCACGUAGGGGGAAGAGGCUGAGCGAGAUUGGAGCCCUGACCUGACUCCAGCUAUGAAGCUGGAAUCACUGAGGCCCUCUGAGAAUCUUUCCAAGACUUGGACUCUGAUCCAGAGACUGUACGCGCUAUUCAGUCUUGCUUUCUGGGGAAGGCAUCCCAUCCCCUUGCCUACUCCUUUUCUGCAGCUUGAGUUGUAAGUAAUCUCUCUUUUCCUCCAGUGUCCAUCUCAUGGGUUUUGGCCCAGCUAUGAAGACCCUCUGGCAAAAGGAAAACAGCAUAGAUUGGCAAGCAAGUGACAGAAGUGGCCCGAGGCAAUCCUCCGCUUCAUCCUCUUGCCCCUGGAGGCAGAUCAGGCUAAACACAGAAGCAGGGCUUCAAAGGAGGGGCCUGGAUCCUCCCCACAGUGACUCACUGGGCUCCAGAGGAAGCCGGGGUCUCCCGGGAUCAGUAGUCGGCCUUGAGGUGGUUCUCUGGAAGCCCUCUCCCACGGCGAUGAGAGCAAAGAGAGGCCGUGUGGUCUCAGGGAGAGACCCCGCGUGUAGCACAGCCUCUAAUUCUCUGCGUGACCUCGGGCAAGCUACCUCCUCAGUUCUUACAAAGAGGGUGUUGGAGCUGUAGGGUGAGCAAGCAGCUUACAGUUUGGGAAUGAGGCAGAUGGAGUCUGGAUCCCAGUCCUGCCACUCAUCAGGGAAUGUGAGCUGUCACCUUUCCACCAAGGCACUCAGCAUCUAAUCGAGAGCUCCUGGCUCUGCACUUGCAGCCUCCCCAGGGGGCAGCCUGGGUCAAUUACCGCCUCUGGGCCUCAGCUCCCUCCUCUGUCGAGUGCACAGCAGAACACAGGCAGUGUGAACACUGGAGGUCACGGACAACAAGUGUCUGCUCCGGAGCAGGCCUUCGGGAGCUGUUAGGUCCAACUCCCUGCCCCUCCGCUAGCCUCGACUGGACCGUCGACGCAGCGCUUCAGGACGUGCCCCAGCCCACGCCACUGCAGAGCAGGUCUGUUCCGAACCAGACCACAGCCAGAGAUGGGUCUCCAAAUCCCGCCUCCAGAGCCUGACUUACCCACGACUGGCAUCGGAGGCCCACAGCCUGGAGUGGAGCAGGCCUGCACCGCACGCACACUCCACAGAGAGAUGACGUGGACAGGACAGGGCAAUUCAACACUGCCAUGGCCCAGGGAACCCAGGCCUCCUCUCCUAAAAGGCAGGAAUCAGACGCACUGAGUCCAGGAACGGGUGGCUUCCCCAGACCCAGACAAUCAAAGAAGAAACAGAAGCUUAUCAGAUGUCUCCUGCUGCUGGGCUGAGCCACACCAGUGCCUGCGGUGUGGGAACUGAGGCUCACGGUCUAAGUGAGAAUUGCCAGAGGUCAUGCAAGUGAGUUCGAAUCUCAAACCACAUCCACCAGAGGGCAAAGCCCAGGCUUCUGCGCUCUGUGUCAUUUCUUUCAAUCCCACCGUCCCACAUUCAUACCUUCGCCAAGUCUCGUUAAGUCCUGCCAUGUGUCAGACACUGUUCUGGGCUGGGGACACAGCAGCUAUCCAGACAAGGACCCUGCCCUCGAGGAGCUCCCACGCCAGUGGAGGGGCAUCUGAACAAACGCCCGUGGCAAUUUUGGAUAAACUGAGUGCUAUGAAAAAAAUAAAAUAAUGGGAAUGAGAGUGACUAUUGUGGGCGUGGAGAGGGGAGAGGGCAGGACGUGUUUCCCUCGGGUGCUUAGGGAAAGGCCCCCGGAAGAAGGGAUGUUUGAGUGAGCCUUGAAUGAUGAGAAGGCAAACACGGGGAGAUGGGGGGAGACAUCCCGCAGGCAGAAGGAAGAGCAGAGGUCCUGGGCUGGGCACCAGCUUGUGCGUUCAAGGGUCCGAAAGAGGCCAGAGAGGCUAAAACAGAGGGAGCCACGGGCAUACACAGUAGGAGAUGAGGUCAGGAGCACGGAGAAGGGCCAGUUCACGGGGUGCAGAGACCGCAGUUAGUCCUGUGUGAAGAGGGUCUUAGGACGGAAUGUGGAGUGAGUAAACUGUCCGCAUUAGAAGGGCAGCCUCCCUGCAAGAGCCAGCCUUGCACGAAGGGAACAUCCCCACUGGGCCUCUUCCCAACUGUGUGGCUGUGGGCAAGCGCCUUACCCUCUCUGGACCUUGGCCUCCUCCCGUGUAAAGCGGAGAUUAUAACACCUGCCUCACAGACCAGGGGUGAGGAUUCGACACCGUGGACUG